rnacentral:rRNA from 1 species
UACGUAUGUUGCAAGCGAUGCUCGGAAUCACUGGGCGUAAAGGGUGCGUAGGCGGGUAUGUAAGUCUGUUGUGAAAUACCGCAGCUUAACUGCGGUGCUGCGACGGAAACUGCAUAUCUGGAGUCCCGGAGAGGCAGACGGAAUUCCCGGUGUAGCGGUGAAAUGCGCAGAUAUCGGGAGGAACACCGAUGGCGAAGGGAGUCUGCUGGACGGAGACUGACGCUGAGGCACGAAAGCGUGGGGAGCAAACAGG